AUAUGUCAAAUUUAAAGAGUUUCCCAAGAUUAUAAACAUACAAAUGUAAUAAAAAUUAUUGUUCGCGAAUAUUCAAUUUGGAAUGCGAUUUUGUUAAUAAAAAAAAUACUUAUAACUUAUGCAAAACCCAAGAGGCAUUUAUAUUUAUUUCUUUUGCGUUCAUUUUCAAAUUCGCCGUGCAUAUAUUUUUGUGCAUGGCGCUUGAGAGGGCAUCACGUGACUAAAAACGACCAACCAACGACCUCGCUUCGGCCAUCUUGGCAUCUUCAUCUUGGCGACCUUGCCUUGCCGUGGAUUGUUUUUAGUUGUUUGUAUUAUUUGUGCUUUUUAAGAAUAUUUUUUUAAUUCGGAUACUUUUAUAAUAGCUUUAAUAGUAUUAUUAACAUAGUGCAUAAAAUGGUGUCCUGUUUUUAACGCAGUUGGAGUAGCAGAAACAAAUGUAGAUAAAAAAAUCUGCAGGAAUAACGUUUCAAUUAUGACAGAAGCUCAAAACAAAUGACUGUGAAUGAAAAGCCCUAUUAAAAGCUUUCCAGAAGAUCCUGCGAAGAAGACAUGAAGUAUAGAUCAGAUUUGUUAAUAGAGGAGUAUGUUCAAAACACUUUUUAGAAAAAGAUAUUGACAGAACUUCACUUUCAUCUGUUCGUUUGAGAGACUGUGCUGUUCCAAUAGCUUAUGUCACACAGAAUCAGCUGAGAGAAGUGGUCUACAAAAAACCAGAAAGGAAACGGAAUAUGUGGCUACGAAAAGCAAAAGAAAGGUUUACAAAGCAAAUGUGACACAUUUUUUUAUAAUAUUUAGGAAUGUCAGCAAAUUACAUUAAAAAAUGUAUGUAAAGAUUUUUUGCAAUAAAAAUGUUUAUAUUUA